ACGCCGAUGAUAGUGCGGAUUCCCGUGUGAAAGUAGGUAAUCGUCAGGC
rnacentral:rRNA from 3 species